CUUUAGGUAUACAGUACUCCCUAAAAGAUUGCAGACUUGAUUAUAAUGCCAUGGUUCCACAAGGACGAAUUUUUAGAGUAGAUAAAGGGAAGUUCAUCACCACAUCUUGGUCUCCUGAUGGCGGGGUUACAUGGUUUACCUAUCAGUGCGCAUACAACACAAGUCCUUCAAUCACAUAUAAGAACUUUUUCAAACCACCUGGUAACUGGUAAAUGUGUCAGCUUGAAAAAUAAAUGUAAAAGUUAUCGUAUAAUUUAA